rnacentral:rRNA from 1 species
UACAGAGGUCUCAAGCGUUGUUCGGAUUCAUUGGGCGUAAAGGGUGCGUAGGUGGCCGUGUAAGUCCGACGUGAAAUCUGGAGGCUCAACCUCCAGCGGUCGUUGGAAACUACCCGGCUAGAGUCCGGAAGAGGAGAGUGGAAUUCCUGGUGUAGCGGUGAAAUGCGCAGAUAUCAGGAAGAACACCGAUGGCGAAAGCAGCUCUCUGGGACGGUACUGACGCUGAGGCGCGAAAGCGUGGGGAGCGAACAGG